GUCGAGCGGACAGAUGGGAGCUUGCUCCCUGAUGUUAGCGGCGGACGGGUGAGUAACACGUGGGUAACCUGCCUGUAAGACUGGGAUAACUCCGGGAAACCGGGGCUAAUACCGGAUGGUUGUUUGAACCGCAUGGUUCAAACAUAAAAGGUGGCUUCGGCUACCACUUACAGAUGGACCCGCGGCGCAUUAGCUAGUUGGUGAGGUAAUGGCUCACCAAGGCAACGAUGCGUAGCCGACCUGAGAGGGUGAUCGGCCACACUGGGACUGAGACACGGCCCAGACUCCUACGGGAGGCAGCAGUAGGGAAUCUUCCGCAAUGGACGAAAGUCUGACGGAGCAACGCCGCGUGAGUGAUGAAGGUUUUCGGAUCGUAAAGCUCUGUUGUUAGGGAAGAACAAGUACCGUUCGAAUAGGGCGGUACCUUGACGGUACCUAACCAGAAAGCCACGGCUAACUACGUGCCAGCAGCCGCGGUAAUACGUAGGUGGCAAGCGUUGUCCGGAAUUAUUGGGCGUAAAGGGCUCGCAGGCGGUUUCUUAAGUCUGAUGUGAAAGCCCCCGGCUCAACCGGGGAGGGUCAUUGGAAACUGGGGAACUUGAGUGCAGAAGAGGAGAGUGGAAUUCCACGUGUAGCGGUGAAAUGCGUAGAGAUGUGGAGGAACACCAGUGGCGAAGGCGACUCUCUGGUCUGUAACUGACGCUGAGGAGCGAAAGCGUGGGGAGCGAACAGGAUUAGAUACCCUGGUAGUCCACGCCGUAAACGAUGAGUGCUAAGUGUUAGGGGGUUUCCGCCCCUUAGUGCUGCAGCUAACGCAUUAAGCACUCCGCCUGGGGAGUACGGUCGCAAGACUGAAACUCAAAGGAAUUGACGGGGGCCCGCACAAGCGGUGGAGCA
rnacentral:rRNA from 1 species